GAUGAACGCUGGCGGCGUGCUUAACACAUGCAAGUCGAACGGUGAAGGCGGAGCUUGCUCUGCUGGAUCAGUGGCGAACGGGUGAGUAACACGUGAGCAAUCUGCCCCUGACUCUGGGAUAAGCGCUGGAAACGGCGUCUAAUACUGGAUACGAGCUGCGAAGGCAUCUUCAGCAGCUGGAAAGAACUUCGGUCAGGGAUGAGCUCGCGGCCUAUCAGCUUGUUGGUGAGGUAACGGCACACCAAGGCGUCGACGGGUAGCCGGCCUGAGAGGGUGACCGGCCACACUGGGACUGAGACACGGCCCAGACGCCUACGGGAGGCAGCAGUGGGGAAUAUUGCACAAUGGGCGAAAGCCUGAUGCAGCAACGCCGCGUGAGGGACGACGGCCUUCGGGUUGUAAACCUCUUUUAGCAGGGAAGAAGCGAAAGUGACGGUACCUGCAGAAAAAGCGCCGGCUAACUACGUG
rnacentral:rRNA from 1 species